rnacentral:rRNA from 1 species
CCCUUAGAUGUUCUGGGCCGCACGCGUGCUACACUGAGUGGAUCAGCGGGUCAGGUUGCGCGAAAGCGUUUCCUAAUCUUUAAAUCCGCUCGUGAUGGGGAUUGACGGUUGCAAUUUUCUGUCAUGAACGAGGAAUACCUUGUAAGCGCGGGUCAUCAUCCCGCGCUGAAUACGUCCCUGCCCUUUGUACACACCGCCCGUCGCUCCUACCGAUUGAAUGGUCCGGUGAAGUGUUCGGAUCGCGCCGACGUGGGCGGUUCGCCGCCGGCGACGUCGCGAGAAGUCCACUGAACCUUAUCAUUUAGAGGAAGGAGAAGUCGUAACA